rnacentral:rRNA from 1 species
CACGCAUGACACACUGCAUAUCAAUAAGCGGAGGAAAAGAAACUAACAAGGAUUCCCUUAGUAACGGCGAGUGAAGCGGGAAGAGCUCAAAUUUGAAAUCUUCAAGGUUCUACCUUGACGAAUUGUAGUUUAUAGAAGUGUUUUCUGUUAGUAGAGUGGCAAAGUUCUUUGGAAUAGGACAUCACAGAGGGUGAGAAUCCCGUAUUUGGUCAUUCCUCCUAGCUUUGUGAUACACUUUCAACGAGUCGGAUUGUUUGGGAAUGCAGUCCAAAAUGGGUGGUAAAUUUCAUCUAAAGCUAAAUAUUGGCGAGAGACCGAUAGCGAACAAGUACCGUGAGGGAAAGAUGAAAAGAACUUUGAAAAGAGAGUUAAACAGUACGUGAAAUUGUCAAAAGGGAAGCGUUUGACACCAGUGUUGUUUUUCCGAAAAUCAAUUACGAAUGGGUUUAUUUUAAGUUAUGACCUUCAUACGCUUGCUUCUCUCUUUAUGUACUUUCUUAAUGCACUUUUCGGUUAACAAGUCAACAUCAAUUUCUUUUGUUGUAAAAGGGUAAUGAGGAGGGUGGCUUUACUUUCGGAGUAAAGUGUUUAUAGCCUUGUACCUCUGCAAUCGGAGAGAUUGAGGUCUGCAGCGUAGAUCCUUCGGGGUUAGAUACAGUUUGUGCUAAGUUAUAGCUUUUCAUAGACAACUUGUUGACUAUGUUAAGUCUUGUAGCUUACUCGCUUAUGCUAUUUUACCUACGCUUAGGAUGUUGAGUCGUAGAGCACGCAG